CAGCAGCCGCUGUAAUACAGAGGGUGCGAGCGUUAAUCGGAUUUACUGGGCGUAAAGCGUGCGUAGGCGGCUUCUUAAGUCGGAUGUGAAAUCCCUGAGCUUAACUUAGGAAUUGCAUUCGAUACUGGGAAGCUAGAGUAUGGGAGAGGAUGGUAGAAUUCCAGGUGUAGCGGUGAAAUGCGUAGAGAUCUGGAGGAAUACCGAUGGCGAAGGCAGCCAUCUGGCCUAAUACUGACGCUGAGGUACGAAAGCAUGGGGAGCAAACAGGAUUAGAUACCCCAGUAGUCCCUGUCUUUAUACA
rnacentral:rRNA from 1 species